UACAGAGGUCCCAAGCGUUGUUCGGAUUCAUUGGGCGUAAAGGGUGCGUAGGCGGCCAACUAAGUCGGAUGUGAAAUCCCCAAGCUUAACUUGGGAACUGCAUCCGAUACUGGAUGGCUUGAAUCCGGGAGAGGGAUGCAGAAUUCCAGGUGUAGCGGUGAAAUGCGUAGAUAUCUGGAGGAAUACCGGUGGCGAAGGCGGCAUCCUGGACCGGCAUUGACGCUGAGGAGCGAAAGCUAGGGGAGCAAACGGG
rnacentral:rRNA from 1 species